AUUGAACGCUGGCGGCAUGCCUUACACAUGCAAGUCGAACGGCAGCACGGGAGCAAUCCUGGUGGCGAGUGGCGAACGGGUGAGUAAUAUAUCGGAACGUGCCCAGUCGUGGGGAUAACGUAGCGAAAGCUACGCUAAUACCGCAUACGAUCUAUGGAUGAAAGCGGGGGAUCGCAAGACCUCGCGCGAUUGGAGCGGCCGAUAUCAGAUUAGGUAGUUGGUGAGGUAAAGGCUCACCAAGCCGACGAUCUGUAGCUGGUCUGAGAGGACGACCAGCCACACUGGGACUGAGACACGGCCCAGACUCCUACGGGAGCAGCAGUGGGGAAUUUUGGACAAUGGGCGCAAGCCUGAUCCAGCAAUGCCGCGUGCAGGAUGAAGGCCUUCGG
rnacentral:rRNA from 1 species